AUACGGAGGGUGCAAGCGUUAAUCGGAAUUACUGGGCGUAAAGCGCGCGUAGGCGGUUAAACAAGUCAGAUGUGAAAGCCCCGGGCUCAACCUGGGAACUGCAUUUGAAACUGUUUAGCUAGAGUGUGGUAGAGGAGAGUGGAAUUUCAGGUGUAGCGGUGAAAUGCGUAGAUAUCUGAAGGAACACCAGUGGCGAAGGCGGCUCUCUGGACCAACACUGACGCUGAGGUGCGAAAGCGUGGGUAGCAAACGGGAUUAGAUACCCCGGUAGUCCACGCCGUAAACGAUGUCAACUAACUGUUGGGCGGGUUUCCGCUUAGUGGUGCAGCUAACGCAAUAAGUUGACCGCCUGGGGAGUACGGCCGCAAGGCUAAAACUCAAAUGAAUUGACGGGGGCCCGCACAAGCGGUGGAGCAUGUGGUUUAAUUCGAUGCAACGCGAAGAACCUUACCUACCCUUGACAUACAGAGAACUUUCUAGAGAUAGAUUGGUGCCUUCGGGAACUCUGAUACAGGUGCUGCAUGGCUGUCGUCAGCUCGUGUCGUGAGAUGUUGGGUUAAGUCCCGUAACGAGCGCAACCCUUAUCCUUAGUUGCUACCAUUUAGUUGGGCACUCUAAGGAGACUGCCGGUGAUAAACCGGAGGAAGGUGGGGACGACGUCAAGUCAUCAUGGCCCUUAUGGGUAGGGCUACACACGUGCUACAAUGGCCGGUACAGAGGGCCGCAAACUCGCGAGAGUAAGCUAAUCCCUUAAAGCCGGUCCUAGUCCGGAUUGCAGUCUGCAACUCGACUGCAUGAAGCUGGAAUCGCUAGUAAUCGCGGAUCAGAAUGCCGCGGUGAAUUCGUUCCCGGGCCUUGUACACACCGCCCGUCACACCAUGGGAGUGGGUUGCAAAAGAAGUGGGUAGGCUAACCUUCGGGAGGCCGCUCACCACUUUGUGAUUCAUGACUGGGGUGAAGUCGUAACAAGGUAGCCCUAGGGGAACCUGGGGCUG
rnacentral:rRNA from 1 species